CCCUGCCAUUUGUACACACCGCCCGUCGCUACUACCGAUUGAACGUUUUAGUGAGGUAUUUGGAUUGGACCUCUGGGGCUUCACCUCCCCGGUGUUGUCUGAGAAGACUCCCAAACUUGAGCGUUUAG
rnacentral:rRNA from 1 species